UGGGGAAUAUUGCACAAUGGGGGAAACCCUGAUGCAGCGACGCCGCGUGAACGAAGAAGGUAUUCGUAUCGUAAAGUUCUGUCCUAUGGGAAGAUAAUGACAGUACCAUAGAAGAAAGCUCCGGCUAAAUACGUGCCAGCAGCCGCGGUAAUACGUAUGGAGCGAGCGUUGUCCGGAAUUAUUGGGCGUAAAGGGUACGCAGGCGGUUUAAUAAGUCGAAUGUUAAAGAUCGGGGCUCAACCCCGCAAAGCAUUGGAAACUGAUAAACUUGAGUAGUGGAGAGGAAAGUGGAAUUCCUAGUGUAGUGGUGAAAUACGUAGAUAUUAGGAGGAAUACCAGUAGCGAAGGCGACUAUCUGGACACAAACUGACGCUGAGGUACGAAAGCGUGGGGAGCAAACAGG
rnacentral:rRNA from 1 species